rnacentral:rRNA from 6 species
UUCGGUGAUUAGAGCGCGGUGGAACUACCCUUAACCAUUCCGAACAAGGAAGUAAAACGCCGUAGCGCUCACGAUACUGGGGGAGACCCUGGGACAAUAGGUCAUCGCCGGGG